rnacentral:lncRNA from 1 species
GUUCAUAAUUUUUAUUGACCAUUUAGGUUUCUGCUUCUCUGAAUUGUCUGCAAAUCUGUAUUCUUUUUCUAAUAGAUAAUGUCUUUUUCCUUAUUAAUUUGUAAAAGCCUUUAUAAUUCUUAUUCCUUCCCUUUUCCACCCUGACAACUCUAUCCAAAGAAAUCUCUUGGAUUUAAAGAACUUUUCAUCACUCUGUUCAACUACUUUCUGUACAACAAAGAGCUGGAUGUGGACCACUACCAACAAUAAGAGUUCCCCAUCUCACGAAUGUCCAAUAUGAAGGUCUGGCACCUUGCCUUCCAAUAUGGAAUAUACGGUGUUCGCAGGCUCACCUUCUAAACCUAGAACGAGGACAGUUAUCCCUUCUCUUGUUGCAUCUCUGAAGUUCUUCAGUUACUCAAUUUGUGGACUUAGAAUAGCACAUCGUCCAGCCACAUUUAUUCUAAACAGAUGGUCUGGACCCAGAGAGAUGGCAGCCAAUGAUCUUAACCACUGUGCUCACAGCUUAUCUUUUCAUGGAAAGGUGAAGAGAUGUCAAGUGCAACCAUCCCACCAAGUACGCGCACACACGGCCCAUUUGUUUAAUCAAACUGGAAAUUACAGGAUAAUGUAUUAUGUUCACUUAUUUUAAGUCACAAUUGAUAUUGAAAAUAAAUACUGAAAUGGCAAGUUAUAUAAAUGGCA